AUUGUUUCUUGUUUUGGAAGGUGUUCCGAUAAAUAAAAAGUUAAAAGAUUUGCCAACAAAUACGAGAACAAAUAUACCAUUUGGAGGGGAUCAACCACCAUACAUAUCCAACGCCCAAGGAAACAACAACUAAUUUUGCCACCAACUUACAAAGAUCAAUGAAUACAGAAUUCAGAGAGAAAGUGUGAUAUUAUUUUCUCAAAGGCAUAAUGAAAAAUUUCCAAACUCCAACAUCUUGGCAGACAAUGGCUCAGACAAUGGCUGAACUGAAUACUCAAAACCCCAGGAACAAUGGGCCACAGAUGCAGAAAGGGCCCUGGGUGGUCAGGCUUGUGGCGGGGUGACAGCUUGCCAACCAGCAAGGGCCCCUCUGAAGAGUUCUGCAGUUGUGUUCCUUCUUCCUCAGGAUUUAGGUCACAGGAGAUUGUCCUGCUUUAAACCACCAAGCUUCAAACCACUUCCAAAGUUGUCAAUGCCUGGAGGAACUCCAGUCUUUGUCUGUGGUAGAGCAGACAAAGCUGACAGGAAGUUGGAAAGCAUAUUUUAUUACAUAUGUAUUUGUUUUUUGACAGGAUGGAAGGCAAAGGUUGUUGAUGUUAUGAAUGUCUGUUUCACAGAACUAAAUGUGAACAGUUUUAUUAAGGAGAUGGCUCAUCCCAGGGUAAAGACAGCAACAGAUGAUAUAGAGAAGAUUACACCAAGCAAACCUGCUGUAAACUGCAUUUACCUUUAGAAGAUGAUAAACUAAAAAUGAAGGGAAGGGAUAAUGAAUGAAUGUUAAGAGCUAAAAACUAUAAAACGCUUAGAAGAAAAUAUAGCAGUAAAUCAACACAAUCUCGGAUUAGGCAACAGUUUCUCAGAUACCUCAUCAAAAGCACAAGUGACAAAAUAAAAAAAUAGAUAAAUUGGACUUCAUCAAAGUAAAACUUUUGCAUUCCAAAGAAUACCAUCAAGAAAGUAAAAAGACAACCCACAAAAUGGGAGAAAAUAUUUGCAAAUCAUGUAUCUUAAGAGAAUUGUAGCCAGAAUAUAAAAACUCUCACAACUCAACAAUAAAAAAACAAAUAACUCAAUUUUGAAAGUGGACAAAGGGAUAGACCUACAAAUGCUCAAUAAACACACGAAAAGA